UUCUUGGCAAGUUGGACGGGAUACUUGAAAAACCGAUCAGAUUGGAAACAAAGCAGUCGUAUUAAGUUUUCUCGGGUCAGCUUGUCAUUCACAU
rnacentral:SRP_RNA from 1 species